rnacentral:rRNA from 1 species
UACGUAGGGGGCAAGCGUUGUCCGGAUUUAUUGGGCGUAAAGAGCGUGUAGGCGGCCAUACAGGUCCGUUGUGAAAACUGGAGGCUCAACCUCCAGACGUCGACGGAAACCGUAUGGCUAGAGUCCGGAAGAGGAGAGUGGAAUUCCUGGUGUAGCGGUGAAAUGCGCAGAUAUCAGGAAGAACACCCGUGGCGAAGGCGACUACCUGGCCUGUUCUUGACGCUGAGGCGCGAAAGCUGGGGGAGCAAACGGG